UGCGGUUUCUUCGGCAAUACUAAAAUUGGAACAAUACAUAGAAGAUUAGCAUAGCCCCUGCACAAGGAUGACAUGCAAAUUCAUGAAGCAGUCCAUAAUUUU